CCAAAGAGACUGACUGAAUUGAUAAGAAUACCAGUUCUGUGCCUCAGCUCCUUUAUGCUGCCUUAUAUUGAUUUUCUUUUCUUUUCUUUUUUUUUUUUUUGAGGGUGGUGAACAAUAUUGAAGUAUGGAGAAUGUGCUUUUGCACGAAGGGCAUUGCACCAGCAGGCUGCAGGGUCAUCAUGACCACCUUGGCUGUAAUGGAAACACCUUCUCUUAGUGAUGCUGAAAGGGUCAGGUCUAGAGGUUGACAUCUGUCUACUUAUACCUGGUAAAGGACCAAGCACAUUACCAUUUUGCUCCUUGUUCUUACAUUUGGGGAAAAAUGCUUCACAUAUCAGGCUCCCCUAUGGAACUAGAAGAUGGAUGAAAGAAGAAGUGUUUUCAGAGGAGCCUUGACGCCUUGGGAAAAUCCCAGGUCAGAUGGGAAGAAAGGAGCCCCGAGUUGUGGGUGUUUCUUACAGUGGUGAUAUUAAGGUAACUAUCAGGUUGCUAAGUCUGAAGCCAUGGGUUGACUCUGACUCCAGAAUCGACCCCAUAGUUAGA
rnacentral:lncRNA from 1 species